GUGGGGAAUAUUGGACAAUGGGCGAAAGCCUGAUCCAGCCAUGGCGCGUGUGUGAAGAAGGUCUUCGGAUUGUAAAGCACUUUAAGUUGGGAGGAAGGGCAGUAAGUUAAUACCUUGCUGUUUUGACGUUACCGACAGAAUAAGCACCGGCUAACUUCGUGCCAGCAGCCGCGGUAAUACGAAGGGUGCAAGCGUUAAUCGGAAUUACUGGGCGUAAAGCGCGCGUAGGUGGUUCGUUAAGUUGGAUGUGAAAGCCCCGGGCUCAACCUGGGAACUGCAUCCAAAACUGGCGAGCUAGAGUACGGUAGAGGGUGGUGGAAUUUCCUGUGUAGCGGUGAAAUGCGUAGAUAUAGGAAGGAACACCAGUGGCGAAGGCGACCACCUGGACUGAUACUGACACUGAGGUGCGAAAGCGUGGGGAGCAAACAGGAUUAGAAACCCUAGUAGUCC
rnacentral:rRNA from 1 species